UGGGGAAUUUUGGACAAUGGGCGAAAGCCUGAUCCAGCAAUGCCGCGUGUGUGAAGAAGGCCUUCGGGUUGUAAAGCACUUUUGUCCGGAAAGAAAUCCUUGGCUCUAAUACAGUCGGGGGAUGACGGUACCGGAAGAAUAAGCACCGGCUAACUACGUGCCAGCAGCCGCGGUAAUACGUAGGGUGCAAGCGUUAAUCGGAAUUACUGGGCGUAAAGCGUGCGCAGGCGGUUUGCUAAGACCGAUGUGAAAUCCCCGGGCUCAACCUGGGAACUGCAUUGGUGACUGGCAGGCUAGAGUAUGGCAGAGGGGGGUAGAAUUCCACGUGUAGCAGUGAAAUGCGUAGAGAUGUGGAGGAAUACCGAUGGCGAAGGCAGCCCCCUGGGCCAAUACUGACGCUCAUGCACGAAAAGCGUGGGGAGCAAAACAGGAUUAGAUACCCUGGUAGUCCACGCCCUAAAACGAUGUCAACUAGUUGUUGGGGAUUCAUUUCCUUAGUAACGUAGCUAACGCGUGAAGUUGACCGCCUGGGGAGUACGGUCGCAAAGAUUAAAAACUUAAAUGAAUUGACGGGGUCAUAGCUGUUUCCU
rnacentral:rRNA from 1 species